GUGCUUGCUUCGGCAGCACAUAUACUAAAAUUUGAAUGAUACAGAGAAGAUUAGCAUGGCCUCUGCGCAAGGAUGACACGCAAAUUCGUGACGCGUUCCAUAUUAAA
ensembl:snRNA U6 U6 spliceosomal RNA